GGGGGGGGGGAGGGGGGAUCCCACCUGCACGCUGACAACGAUGACGAGGGAGGUGGCGACGGUGACGGCGAAGGACUGAUAGUCGGCCAGCUGCGCCCCGUCGUCACGCGUGGCGUCGGCGAAGACGCCGUAGGGGAUGAAGAACAUGAGCACGGAGGUGUAGAUGCCCUGGGCGAUGCAGAUGAAGAACUCACGCUUGUUGAAGAGCAGGUUGAGCUGGCCGGGCUCGUACAGCUUGGGGUACUCCAUGCUCCGCUGCUCCGGCACGUCCUGGGGGCACGUGGCAGGCUGGCACCUCCCUCAGCGCUGCGUGCUGGGGCUGAGCCGGCCCUGACAGCACCAGCAGCGGGACCAGGACGGCACCCAGAGACCCCCGGGCUCACCCUACCUGAUCAAAGACCCCCAUGGCCAGCACAGGCAGCGAGGUGUAGACGAUGUUGUACAGCGUGAUGAAGUACUGAUCGUACACCGUCUGCAAAGCGCGCCGGGCUCAGAGCGGUGCCCAAAGCCCCCCCAGCGCCCCACACGGCCCCGUGGUACCCCAAGCAGCGGGUGCUGCUGCCACCACGUGGCAGCCGGGGUGACAUGGAGGUGUGGGACGGGGGCACAGGGAUGGGGGGGGCACAGGAAUGGGGGGGCACGGCCCACGGAGCACACAGACCUGAGCAGAGAAGCCGCAGAAAAAGCCGAACCAGAAGUGGACCAUGGUGAAGGCGAAGUUCUUGUAGAAGAAGUAGCAGAGGAAUUUGCACAUGCGGAGGUAGGACCAGCGCCCGUGCACCAGCAGCAGGCGCUGCAGGAACUUGAACUGCGAGAAGGAGUAGUCGGAGGCCAGCACUGCCUGGAUGCCCUCCUGCCCGCUGAUGCCCACCCCGAUGUGGGCAGCUGCGGAAGAGGGGCACGGGGUGAGCGGCGCAGGGCGGCACCCCAGCAGCAGGAGGGACCCGGCCCCCUCCCGCGCUCGCUGGGCCCCAGGACUCACUCUUGAUCAUGCUGACGUCGUUGGCCCCAUCCCCAAUGGCCAAAGUGACCGCCUUCUUGUACUUCUUGACCAGCUCCACCACCUGUGCCUUCUGCAGGGGCGUCACACGGCAGCAGAUCACGGCCUUGCAGGCGCACGCCGUCUCCAAGAACUCCACCUCCAUGUCUGCCUCCAGCGCGUGGGCCUGGGAGGGGAGCGUGGGGCCAGGCUGUGCCCGUUGAUGACCAGAGCGUAUUCACCCGCGAUGGCUUCCAGCACGGAGAAGGGGAACCCGAGGCUGAGCAGAGGGGAAUGCCUGGCCCCCCAUCUCCGCCCUCACAGAUGGGACCCGGCCCACGAACGCCCUCAUCUCCAGCAGCGCUGCGCCUCACCCUGCUUGUCCCCCGUCAGCACCCAGAUCUUGAUGUUGGCCAGCGUCAGGAUGGCGAUGGUUUCGGGGACGCCCUGCUGCAGUUUGUCCUCGAUGGCUGUGGCUCCAAGCAGCUGUGGGACCGGGGCAGGUCCUUGCAGGCCAACACCAGCGUGCGCAGCCCCUCGCCGGCGUAUUCCUGCGAGCAGCCACAGCUGGGCACAGACAGACCCCAACGGCGUCCCCACACCUCGAUCCCCACAGGACGCAGCCCCCCCAGCCCUGCCUGCUGCCCCCCACCCCGCUCACAUUCAGGUGGUCCGUGGUGACGUUGGUCAGGUCCUGGUUGGAGGGGUGCAGGCGCUCCAGCAGGAUGGUGUCGGCGCCUUUGCAGUACAGCCGGAUCUUGCCCUCAGGGCUGCGCACUGCAGGAGGGGGGGGACAGGCUGCCAGGCUCGGGGGGGCAGGAGCAGACCCUCCUCCACGCCCCAACCACAGCCCUGCAAUACCUCCACACCGUGGGGUGCCGUUUCCCAGCACCAGGCUGAGCCCGAGCUGCCCAGCCCCGCUUCAGCCCGCCCCCAAACCCCCCAGCCCCGCUCUCACCGAUGA
ensembl:lncRNA